ACGCUGGCGGCAUGCUUUACACAUGCAAGUCGGACGGCAGCACAGAGAAGCUUGCUUCUUGGGUGGCGAGUGGCGAACGGGUGAGUAAUAUAUCGGAACGUACCGAGUAAUGGGGGAUAACUAAUCGAAAGAUUAGCUAAUACCGCAUAUUCUCUGAGGAGGAAAGCAGGGGACCUUCGGGCCUUGCGUUAUUCGAGCGGCCGAUAUCUGAUUAGCUAGUUGGUGGGGUAAAGGCCUACCAAGGCGACGAUCAGUAGCGGGUCUGAGAGGAUGAUCCGCCACACUGGGACUGAGACACGGCCCAGACUCCCACGGGAGGCAGCAGUGGGGAAUUUUGGACAAUGGGCGCAAGCCUGAUCCAGCCAUGCCGCGUGUCUGAAGAAGGCCUUCGGGUUGUAAAGGACUUUUGUCAGGGAAGAAAAGGCUGUUGCUAAUACCGACAGCUGAUGACGGUACCUGAAGAAUAAGCACCGGCUAACUACGUGCCAGCAGCCGCGGUAAUACGUAGGGUGCGAGCGUUAAUCGGAAUUACUGGGCGUAAAGCGAGCGCAGACGGUUACUUAAGCAGGAUGUGAAAUCCCCGGGCUCAACCUGGGAACUGCGUUCUGAACUGGGUGACUAGAGUGUGUCAGAGGGAGGUAGAAUUCCACGUGUAGCAGUGAAAUGCGUAGAGAUGUGGAGGAAUACCGAUGGCGAAGGCAGCCUCCGGGGAUAACACUGACGUUCAUGCUCGAAAGCGUGGGUAGCAAACAGGAUUAGAUACCCUGGUAGUCCACGCCCUAAACGAUGUCAAUUAGCUGUUGGGCAACUUGAUUGCUUAGUAGCGUAGCUAACGCGUGAAAUUGACCGCCUGGGGAGUACGGUCGCAAGAUUAAAACUCAAAGGAAUUGACGGGGACCCGCACAAGCGGUGGAUGAUGU
rnacentral:rRNA from 1 species